CUUAUUACUACAAUUUUUGCAGGAGUUGGCAAUGUAUAUAUUGCUAUGCAGAUCUAGAAAUAGCUUUGGUAGAGCGAAAUAAGAUUGGAGAAAGGAAGCACAGAUCAUAAUCUCAUCUUCGAGCCAUAAUCCAUUUCAGGACAUGACCAACAAGAAAGGGCAAGAUCCUAAAGAAGUCGAAAAGCGGAGGGAUAGGAAGUGGUAUGGA